GAUGAACGCUGGCGGCGUGCCUAAUACAUGCAAGUCGAGCGAACAGACGAGGAGCUUGCUCCUCUGACGUUAGCGGCGGACGGGUGAGUAACACGUGGAUAACCUACCUAUAAGACUGGGAUAACUUCGGGAAACCGGAGCUAAUACCGGAUAACAUGUUGAACCGCAUGGUUCAACAGUGAAAGACGGUCUUGCUGUCACUUAUAGAUGGAUCCGCGCCGCAUUAGCUAGUUGGUAGGGUAACGGCUUACCAAGGCAACGAUGCGUAGCCGACCUGAGAGGGUGAUCGGCCACACUGGAACUGAGACACGGUCCAGACUCCUACGGGAGGCAGCAGUAGGGAAUCUUCCGCAAUGGGCGAAAGCCUGACGGAGCAACGCCGCGUGAGUGAAGAAGGUCUUCGGAUCGUAAAACUCUGUUAUUAGGGAAGAACAAAUGUGUAAGUAACUAUGCACGUCUUGACGGUACCUAAUCAGAAAGCCACGGCUAACUACGUG
rnacentral:rRNA from 1 species